AAUACCACAACCUGAACCCAUACCUACACCACAACCAGAUCCAACUCCAGAACCAGAGCCAAAGCCAACACCACAGCCAGACCCAGAGCCAGGACCUAAGCCAUUACCACACCCGGAACCCUUACCCACACCAGAACCACUUCCAAAUCCACAACUAGAGCCAGAACCCAACCCAUUGCCACAGCCUAAACCCUUACCCACACCAGAACCACUUCCAAAUCCACAACCAGACCCAGAGCCAGAACCCAAGCCAUUGCCACAACCUGAACCCUUACCCACACCAGAACCACUUCCAAAUCCACAACCAGACCCAGAGCCAGAACCCAAGCCAUGGCCACAGC
rnacentral:lncRNA from 1 species